CGCUCUGUUCUCGGCAUGCUGUUAUUCCGAGUGUGGAAUUGUCUUCAAGCACGCAGGGGUUCCAGCACCAUGGUCAUGGCUCUGCGGUUGAGUGGUACCUUCGCAACUGCGUCGUUGAAUUCCCGUCUACAGAGCUUACCGAGCUCAAAGUCGUCCCGGCAGUGGAGCUCUAGCUCUACGUUGCCUUCAAAGCGUCAGACCAGCAAGAAGGCUGGGAGGCUUGUUGUGCGUGCCGCAGAAGGCAUUGACGUUGAUACCAAGGAGGGAAAGGGUGACAUUCUGCCAUCAGGAGAGUGGGCUGAGAACUUCUCAUUGUUAAAUUAUGAAGAUUUGUCGAAAUACUAUGAGCAUAUUCUAUUCAAACCAGAGGCACAACCGUCUACACACCUCGCAGAUAUAAUGUCCCGAACCAUCAUCACUGCAUCUCCAGAACAAUCUCUUGAGGAGGUGGAUCGAUACUUCUAUGAUAUAUCUGGCCUUCCUGUGGUCGACCAUGAGCACAAAUGCGUUGGAGUUCUUUCCAAAAAAGAUCGAUCAAAAACAUCAAAUCUGAAAACAAAGGUGAAGGAUGUCAUGACCACACCAGCAAUCACCUUACCUGCAGACAAGGUUGUCUCUGAUGCUGCGGUCUUGAUGUUGAAGAACAAGAUUCACCGCAUUCCUAUUGUAAAUGAAAAGAAUCAAGUCGUAGGUAUUGUGACAAGGACUGAUAUUUUCAGUGCUUUGGAAGGAGGCAAGCAAGAUGGUGCUAAGAUGAAAGGGCCGACGCAUUUCUUGCACCUUGACGAUUUUGACAAGGAUACAUUGCUACACAUCUUGGAUCGUGCUGUGGAAGUUAAGGCUCGGCUGAAGUCAGGGGACAAGAGUUAUCAACCUUUGAAGGGGAUGUCGAUGGCUAUGAUUUUCACUAAGCCAUCUAUGAGGACAAGAGUUUCGUUUGAAACUGGUUUUUAUCAGCUUGGAGGACAUGCCAUCUACUUAGGUCCUAACGAUAUUCAGUUGGGAAAGCGAGAAGAAACACGUGAUAUCGCUCGUGUACUCUCAGGGUACAACGAUGUCAUUAUGGCGCGUCUCUUCGGACACAAGGAUCUGCUGGAUUUGGCAGAAUAUUCUAAGAUUCCCGUCAUCAAUGGACUUACUGACUAUAACCACCCUUGCCAGAUCAUGGCUGACGUCCUAACUAUUAAUGAGUUCAUUGGCAAUAUAGAGGGUCUGAAGAUAGUGUACGUAGGCGAUGGUAACAACAUGGUCCACUCUUGGUUGCGCCUGGCAGCUGUGCUGCCUUUUCAUUUCAUAUGUGCAUGCCCACGUGGUUAUGAGCCUGAUGCUGCCACAGUAGAGAGAGCUCGCAGAGCAGGAGUAAGCAAAAUUGAAAUCAGACACGAUCCUGUAGAGGCUGUGAAGGGGGCAAAUGUCGUUUAUGCGGAUGUAUGGGCCAGCAUGGGCCAGAAGGAGGACGCAGACAACCGGAAGUCGGUUUUCCAGGGUUUCCAGGUGAACGAGGCUUUGAUGAAAGCUGCCGGACCUCAAGCCUAUUUCAUGCAUUGUCUUCCAGCUGAAAGAGGAGUGGAGAUCACUGACGGUGUUAUUGAGGGCCCCAAAUCGAUUGUAUUCCCACAAGCAGAGAAUAGGAUGCACGCUCAAAACGCCAUCAUGCUCCACUGUCUUGGUUUUUGAGUCCACUAUGGAUGGGCUUGGCGUGGACAAGUUGGAUGUUUUCAUUAUUUGAGGAUUUUCAUGUAUCCUUCUAUUUAGACUCGCAUCCCUGUUGUGAUCCUUCGAUACGAUUGCUAGUGAGACUUAUUCCGGGAGGGGGGGCAAGCUUGUGCCUUCAAGCAAAUGCUCCCCCAGAAUAAGGUGGAAUAUUCUGACGUACUUCGGAGCAUGUGUAUGACUAAUCGGAAGGACACAAACAAAUCGUUUAAAGUCUUAGCGCAUGGGUACUGGAUAUCUAUACAUGGUAGAAGUAUGCACAAUCUUCUGAGGUCGACUCUUGAGUUUGACCCGAAGGUUCUCUUGUCCAUCAUACCGUCCAUUCGAGAGUGGUUUUAGUCUUCGGCUAGAUCAAGCUCAGAGGAAUACUUUUCAUCCCCCAAGGCUGUAUAGGUCAGUCUGAAAGGUAACAUAGUGUUUUUCUGGAAAUGGAAAUUGUUUGCAUGUUU